AGUUGUUGAUGAGGUAAUGGCUCACCAAGCCUUUAACCGGUUCGGGCCGUGGGAGCGGUAGCCCGGAGAUGGGCACUGAGACAAGGGCCCAGGCCCUACGGGGCGCAGCAGUCGCGAAAACUUCGCAAUAAGCGAAAGCUUGACGGGGCCAUCCCGAGUGCCAUCUGCUGAGGAUGGCUUUUACCCAGUAUAGAUAGUUGGGGGAAUAAGGAGAGGGCAAGUCUGGUGUCAGCCGCCGCGGUAAUACCAGCUCUCCGAGUUGUGGGGACGUUUAUUGAGCCUAAAGCAUCCGUAGCCGGCUGGGCAAGUCCUCUGUUAAAUCCAGCGACAAAUCGUUGGCCUGCGGGGGAUACUGCUCGGCUAGGGGGCGGGAGAGGCCGUCGGUAUUCUUGGGGUAGGGGUGAAAUCCUAUAAUCCCAGGAGGACCACCAGUGGCGAAGGCUGUCGGCUAGAACGCGCCCGACGGUGAGGGAUGAAAGCUGGGGGAGCGAACCGGAUUAGAUACCCGGGUAGUCCCAGCUGUAAACGAUGCAGGCUAGGUGUUAGGGCGGCUACGUGCCGCUCUAGUGCCGCAGGGAAGCUGUUAAGCCUGCCGCUUGGGGAGACCGNCCGGCAGGCUGACUUAAAGGCCA
rnacentral:rRNA from 1 species